rnacentral:rRNA from 1 species
UGCCAGACUCCUACGGGAGGCAGCAGUGGGGAAUAUUGGGCAAUGGGCGCAAGCCUGACCCAGCAAUGCCGCGUGAAGGAAGAAGGCUUUCGGGUUGUAAACUUCUUUGACAGGGGAAGAGCAGAAGACGGUACCCUGAAAACAAGCCACGGCUAACUACGUGCCAGCAGCCGCGGUAAUACGUAGGUGGCAAGCGUUGUCCGGAUUUACUGGGUGUAAAGGGCGUGUAGCCGGGCCGGCAAGUCAGAUGUGAAAUCCCAAGGCGCAACCUUGGAACUGCAUUUGAAACUGUUGGUCUUGAGUAUCGGAGAGGCAGGCGGAAUUCCUAGUGUAGCGGUGAAAUGCGUAGAUAUUAGGAGGAACACCAGUGGCGAAGGCGGCCUGCUGGACGACAACUGACGGUGAGGCGCGAAAGCGUGGGGAGCAAACAGGAUUAGAUACCCGAGUACC